rnacentral:rRNA from 1 species
UACGUAGGGGGCAAGCGUUGUUCGGAAUUACUGGGCGUAAAGGGCGCGUAGGCGGCAUGGCAAGUCAGGAGUGAAAGGCCUGGGCUCAACCGAGGAACUGCUUUUGAUACUGCCAAGCUAGAGUGCGGAAGGGGCAACUGGAAUUCCCAGUGUAGCGGUGAAAUGCGUAGAUAUUGGGAAGAACACCUGAGGCGAAGGCGGGUUGCUGGGCCGACACUGACGCUGAGGCGCGAAAGCGUGGGGAGCAAACAGG